rnacentral:rRNA from 1 species
UACGGAGGAUGCAAGCGUUAUCCGGAAUGAUUGGGCGUAAAGCGUCCGCAGGUGGCAAUGUAAGUCUGCUGUCAAAGCGUCUGGCUCAACCAGAUAAAGGCAGUGGAAACUACAUAGCUAGAGUGCGUUCGGGGCAGAGGGAAUUCCUGGUGUAGCGGUGAAAUGCGUAGAUAUCAGGAAGAACACCGGUGGCGAAAGCGCUCUGCUAGGCCGCAACUGACACUGAGGGACGAAAGCUAGGGGAGCGAAUGGG